rnacentral:lncRNA from 1 species
UUCCGCCUCGGCGGUGGCGGCGAAGAAGAUGGAGCGGCGAGUGCGGGAGGCGGAACGGUCCUCCAUGGAUCGGCGGCGAGGAAGCCCCGUGGUGAGUCCCAUUCGCAUUCUCCAAGACUCGUCCAUUUUCCGGCGAGGUUGUUUUACCAGAAUAUUUGACUAGAAGAAACAAAGUGUGGGUUGCGCUUAUAUAUAGAGUUGAGGAACAUAAAACAAAAGAUAAUAAAAAAAAAAAACAGUUUUGUGAAAAAAGCCACUGAUUGACUUUUACCCUUUUUCUUUCAGCUUUACUUAUUUUCUAAUAAUCAACAACUUCAUCAUCUACAGUUACUGCCAUUGAUUGCGUUCCUCUAAUCACAAUUAAAUCUUACAAGAUUGUUUCAACUUCCAUUUCAAAAGAUCUGGUUCGGACACAAACAUUCACUCUAUACAUCUUUUUGUUCUACAAAUAUUUACUUUUCUUUAUUUAGUGUAUUGAAACUACAUAAACCAUUGUUUGUAAAUUGCUCAAAAAGGAGAAAUGUAUAUUUAAAGUGUGUUUACCUUAACUUCUAAGUGGUAUAAGACUAUUGGGUAUAGCAAAAGAAAGUUGAUUGGUAAGUAUAUUUGAUUUGAGAAUUAGAUAUAAAUGAAGAUAAAAAAAAGUGUCCUUAAUGGGUUAAGUAAUGGUUAAGAAAGGAUGGUUGUUUAAUAGUUUGGGGUUGGCAUUAUUGUGGUGUUGUUUGAUGAAUGAUAAAUUUUUGGUUUGUGUGAAUGAUUAGUGAUAAGUGAUGGGAAAUGCAUAGUGGAAUAAUGUGGAAUAGGGCUAGAGUUGGUUUGAUUACCUGGAAAGAUGCAUAGGCUGGAAUUGGAAGUCCCCACAGACAUCAUCAUGCUGGUGCUGGCUAUGUUUGAUUUUCCCUCCUCCUUUUCAUUAUGCUUUUAUUUUUCUUUUUUGGGUGGGGGCAAGUGGUUUUGUUCUAUGCCACUGUCCACCCUUUUGCUUGUCCUCAUGCAAUGUGGGUUUGUAGAGCCACAUUUCAAGAUUCAGGCAAAAGAAUAAGAAGAUAAAAUUCAUUUAUGGAAUCUACUGUGUGUAUGUAUGUACAUCUUCGGAUACUGUCACUCUCUAAUACUUUGCUUUCAUUUGAGGGAAUUUGAUGAAAGUGUCAGAACCAUGGAUUUACCUGUAUGGCUCAAGAUAAAGUUGCCAACGGGGCAGGUGAGGGAAAGGAUGAUUGGUACCUCACAAGGCUACACUGCAUGCCCUAAAUUCAUUUCUCAUCACACCCUUUUCUGCCUUACUCUUACUUUAAACUUCCAUUUAGAGAUCAUAAUCAAUGCAAUUCAGGUGACACUAUCAUACGCCAACACAGAGGCCUAAUCAUUCUUAGGUUUUUCAUUUCUCUAUUUUAUUUCAUUUUGCUCACAUAACCUAACCACAAGGAAGAACAUAGUCACACAGAAUUGUGGUGCUAAAAAUAAACAACAUGGAUCCCCAUUCUCCACUGUUAAGUACUGAUUAGCAAUAAGACCAGUUUGUUAAUUGUUUUAAUAUGAGUUGAGUUAGCCAAUUUAUUGGACCACAAAACAUGGUUUAACUCUAUUAUGUAGUGGUCCAAAAACAUGAUUCAGAGGUGAAGUGAGUUAACUCUACUGUUUAGUGUGGUAGGUAAAGUGGGAACAAGUCUAAUUAAAAACUCAUGAUUUUGGAUAAUCAUGGAUCAAUGGAAUUAGCCCUGGGUCCAUUAGAUAUUGCUGUUCACUGAUAGAGUGCUUUUGUCAAUCUGUCCUGAAGUGCAUGCCAUUCAUAAGAAGCUAUCAGGUGUGUUUUUCCAGCCUAUACAACAACACAUUCAUAACUUCAUAACAAUAAUAAUAAUAAUAAUAUAUGGGUAUUUUGCACGUCAAUUUUUUAGAUCACUUUAUUACUUUUCAAUACUUACAAUUAGAUUGAUUACAAAUUAAGGUGACCCCGUGCAAGUAUAAUAAUAAUGUUAAAGGUGAUAUAACACAAAGUAACCAAUGUGGUGCAACUGUCAAUUCCAGCAACAUUAAUUAAUUCUUCCGCAAACCAUGUUUGUUCCCUUCCUCAUUGUAUUCAGAUUUGGAAGAAGUUUUGUUUCUCUUCAUUUUGUAAUCAUCCUACUUGUUCUAUCUUCACAAUCUGUUUCACUUUUCCCAGGAAAUUCUGCAUGCUCAAUUCCAAUCUGGCACUAAGCUCUUCUCUCAAUUGCUCAGAAAGAAAACUCUAUUAGGCAAGCUGAACAUCUGGGUUAACUGAUGUGAAACUAUUUAACCUAACCAUUAAGUUUGAGUCUUAAAUAUACAACUUCAUUAACUAGUUCUAUAGAAAGUUUUGUUGUUUAAAAUUAUCUUUGCUUAAUAGUUAUCUAAUUGGACUUAAACAUAUAGAAAAUAUUUGUAAUUAACAUGUGAGAUUUUGU